AUGGAUUUUUUAGGACUAUUUUUCACUCUAAUUUGGAUAGAGGAAAGGAACUGUGGUCUAGAAUCUAUACGAAAGGAAUCCAACGCUGCUGUGCCCACCGCCUCCACAGCUCACGUGACGAUCUUCCACCCGCUGCGUGCCACCUGGAAUGAUGUUGCGUUGCCCUGAUGGGCUGCUGGGGUUCUGCCUCUGUGAAACGCUCCUCUGGAUGAUGCCCCAGGAGCCUUGAGAGUGAAAAAAGAAUGGGGACUCUGUCAGGUCUAGGCACUUGGCAUGCUUGCCUCAAGCCACCUGGCAUCAGUAGGGCAAUGGUGUUCAAAGUAGCACCGUUCCCAGUGCUUCCAGUGUACUGGCUUUAAACUGGAAGUGGGUACAUAUAGGCUAGAUAUUAGGAAGAGAUUUGUUACUGUGUGGACGGUGAGAUACUGGCGCAGGUUGCCCAGAGGGGUUGUGGAUGCCCCCUCCCUGGAGGUGUUCAAGGCCAGGCUGGAUGGGUCUGUGAGCAGCCCGGUCUAGUGGGGGGUGUCCCUGCCUAUAGCAGGGGGUUGGAACUUUGGUGAUCUUAAGGGCCCUUCCAACCCAAACCGCUCUAUGACUCUACAACUAAGAAAAAUGCCUUUACUCUAAAGAUGAUCAGCACUGGACCAAGCUUCCUAUAGAGCUGGUUGAUGCCUCGUGCCUGUCAGUGGUCAAGAGGCAUUUGGAUGAUGUCCUUAGUAAUAUGCCUCGUCUUUUGG
rnacentral:lncRNA from 1 species